GGCGGGUCCCUUCGCAUGGUUCAACAGUGAAUCUGGUCAGGUCGGGAACGAAGCAGCCACAGCUGUCUCGAGUCAGUGCCGAAGUCAGGCUCGCCACC
rnacentral:SRP_RNA from 1 species